rnacentral:lncRNA from 1 species
AUAUGUGUAUAUACAUCUGUAUAUAUGUAUAUAUACAUACAUAUGUGUAUAUACAUCUGUAUAUAUGUAUAUAUACAUACAUAUGUGUAUAUACAUCUGUAUAUAUGUAUAUAUACAUACAUAUGUGUAUAUACAUCUGUAUAUAUGUAUAUAUACAUACAUAUGUGUAUCAUACAUAUGUGUAUAUACAUCUGUAUAUAUGUAUAUAUACAUACAUAUGUGUAUAUAUAUCUGUAUAUAUGUAUAUAUACAUACAUAUGUGUAUAUAUAUCUGUAUAUAUAUACAUACAUAUGUGUGUGUAUAUAUAUACGCAUAUGUGUGUAUAUAUAUGAUGGAAUAUUACUCAGCCAUAAAAAGAAAUGAACUAAUGGCAUUUCCAGUGACCUGGAUGAGAUUGAGGACUAUUAUUCUUUUUUCUUUUCUUUUUUUUUUUGAGACAGUCUCACUAGGUUGCCCAGGCUGGAGUACAGUGGCACAAUUUUGGCUCACUGCAACCUCUGCCUCCUAGGUUCAAGUGAUUCUCCUACCUCAGCUUCCCGAGUAGCUGGGAUUUCACCAUGUUGGCCAGACUGGUCUUGAACUCCUGACCUCAGGUGAUCCACCCACCUUGACCUUCCAAAGUGCUGGGAUUACAGGUGUGAGCCAUCGUGCCCAGCCUGGAGACUAUUAUUCUAGGUGAAGUAACUCAGGAAUGGAAAACCAAACAUCGUAUAUUCUCACUGAUAUGUGGGAGCUAAGCUAUGAGGACUCAAAGACAUAAGAAUGACACAAUGGACUUUGGGGACUUGGGGGGAAGGAUGAGAGGGGGGCAAAAGAUAAAAUACUACAAAUAGGGUG